CAGCCGCCACGGGAACACGUAGGGUGCGAGCGUUAAUCGGAAUUACUGGGCGUAAAGCGUGCGCAGGCGGUUGUGUAAGACAGGUGUGAAAUCCCCGGGCUUAACCUGGGUACUGCGCUUGUGACUGCACAGCUAGAGUAUGGCAGAGGGGGGUGGAAUUCCACGUGUAGCAGUGAAAUGCGUAGAGAUGUGGAGGAACACCGAUGGCGAAGGCAGCCCCCUGGGCCAAUACUGACGCUCAUGCACGAAAGCGUGGGGAGCAAAUGGGAUUAGAUACCCGCGUAGUCCCUGUCUCUUAUAC
rnacentral:rRNA from 1 species